rnacentral:lncRNA from 1 species
UAGUCCUUGAGAAAAUUACCGUUAAGAAAUUAGCGUGUGAAGUGCAAAAACAAACUUGGGGAUUCCUCGAUAUCCAUUACUUCCUAUCCUGCAGCUACUUUUUUCUCAAGUCAAGAUGGUAAAACCCUGUUGGAGUGACAACCAGCAGAAAAGCAGCCAUAAACAGGUUCAGCAGUCACCUAGGGCGACCGGAGACAGGUGCCCGCUAACAAGUGGGGACGCAGCCUUUAGGAACUGCUUUGGAGACUCCAAGGCUGCUGAUUUCACACAAGCAACAGCCAAAGAAGCACAGGUGUGCGUGUGCGUGUGCGUGUGCGUGUGUGUGUGUGUGCAUUGCUGUGGUCACCGUCUUUUGGAGGAACAGUUUUACACCCAGGUAAGUUGGCUCUGGGAAAAGAAGUCCCUACUUACAUCAUAGUAAAUGUGGAGUGGGAUCUGUUCCCUCAUGACUUCUUUUGAGACUUUCACGUCAUAUGUAACAAUUCAGAGACGUAGGAUGCUGUUCAGGUAUUAUUUUAGGUUGCUGGAGGAACAUUCUGGAGCUAUUGUGAUACCUCCAACUGCUGA